AGCCCAUGUCGUGGUGCAUGGGGCCUGCAGGCAUCCGACCCGGGCCGCAUCGGCAUCAUUCGGGAGUAGAGCGGAGGAGAGCAGAUCGACCGUGUCGCAGCGAAGGCUGGUCGCUGGUAGCUAGUAGCUAGCAUCACAUGCUUGCCCCAUGAAUUGAUGCCUGCCUGCCAAACGCGGCCGGCUGGCCGGCCGGCUGGGCGGCCAGGCCUGCAGGGCGGGCUGGGCGGCACCGAUCGAUCGCAUUCAACCCUCACAUCAACCACGACGGCGACGAGGCACGUCGCAGGCAGAAGGGGACGGAGGAGGGACCCGGGCGCCGGGGUCCGGGGGGGUCCAGGGGACAAGCGCACGUACAGUGGCGGGGGACCAAUGGAAAUGGGAGCGAUUGAGCGUGAGGCGG
rnacentral:lncRNA from 1 species